rnacentral:rRNA from 1 species
AUAACCCCGGGAAACUGGGGAAAAUUCCGGAUAACGCACAUAUGCUGGAAUGCUUUAUGCGUAAAAUGGAUUCGUCUGCCCAAGGAUGGGUCUGCGGCCUAUCAGGUAGUAGUGGGUGUAAUGUACCUACUAGCCAACAACGGGUACGGGUUGUGAGAGCAAGAGCCCGGAGAUGGAUUCUGAGACAUGAAUCCAGGCCCUACGGGGCGCAGCAGGCGCGAAAACUUUACAAUGCGGGAAACCGUGAUAAGGGGGCACCGAGUGCCAGCGUCAUACGCUGGCUGUCCAGGUGUGUAAAAUACACCUGUUAGCAAGGGCCGGGCAAGACCGGUGCCAGCCGCCGCGGUAACACCGGCGGCCCGAGUGGUGAUCGUGAUUAUUGGGUCUAAAGGGUCCGUAGCCGGUUUGGUCAGUCCUCCGGGAAAUCUGAUAGCUCAACUAUUAGGCUUUCGGGGGAUACUGCCAGGCUUGGAACCGGGAGAGGUAAGAGGUACUACAGGGGUAGGAGUGAAAUCUUGUAAUCCCUGUGGGACCACCUGUGGCGAAGGCGUCUUACCAGAACGGGUUCGACGGUGAGGGACGAAAGCUGGGGGCACGAACCGGAUUAGAUACCCGGGUAGUCCCAGCCGUAAACGAUGCUCGCUAGGUGUCAGGCAUGGCGCGACCGUGUCUGGUGCCGCAGGAAGCCGUGAAGCGAGCCACCUGGUAGGC